AGGCAGAAGGCCUGAUCAGGUCAAGCAAGAAGGGCACAGAGAAGAAAAAAGAGUGGGUCAGACUGCCUUAAUUGCUAAGUACCACAAGCCUACAUAUAUUCAUAAAACACACAGACCAACACCAGGACAACUUUUUCUUUUCGUCUCACCUUGUAAAGCUGCUGUCCUUUCCUGCUCACUCCUUGUGGCAAGGCAGAAAGCCAAGAGCACAGAUGGCACAGGCAGAAGAGAGAGCAAUUUCACAGUCAUUUUAGCUUAUUCACAAGCAGCAUCCUACAAAAUGGAAAAGCACAGGGGAAAUAAUUACCUUUAUGGACUUCCCUCUUUGAGAUUCAGGCAGCCACCUUCAAAUCCUGAGACUCCUUGUGUGUCCUUGCUGUGCACUCCCUGAUCGUAGCCAUGUUAAUCACAUGACUGGCCAACAGACUGGCUUUGCCAGUUAAGUAUCUCCCUCUGCUUUUUUUUUUUUUUUGUUCAUUCCAUGUCCUCCUUAAAUGACUUGUUCUGUUCUCCACCCCCAAUCACAAUCUUCCAGGCCUGCACUCGGGACAGCCAGUUCCUCCCACCUGCUAUCAUUGCUCCACCCACCUUUCCACCUGCAUACAAGGAGAAAAUGAAACCUGGACUCUUAAAAUCAACAAACCGCCUGCACUCGGGACAGCCAGUUCCUCCCACCUGCUAUCAUUGCUCCACCCACCUUUCCACCUGCAUACAAGGAGAAAAUGAAACCUGGACUCUUAAAAUCAACAAACCCACCCAGCGUGUUGGCAGCAAAACAGCCGACCAAGAGUUUGCUCAGUAAAGAGCCAGGAGGCAGGUUGCUCAAAAGCUCUGCAGCUGUGAGGAUUGCCGCUCUGUGGCACUAAGCCAGCCGGUUAUCCUGGAUCCUGGCAAAGACUGCUGUGGACUAUAAACAUGAAAAUGCCCCAAGGAGUAAACAAGAACCCCCCUAAGGAGUAAACAAGGAAAAUACACCAAGGAGGCCUGCUUUCAGGCAAACUGUUAGAUCUCAAGACAAGACCAAACCUGACAGCUACACCAUGUGUGUAAGUUCUAUUACUGAACUGAAAAACAAUACUAGUAGAGCUGAAUUCUCUUUUUUAAUCUGUAAAAGAUGUGCUGCUGUUUUCUUUUUAAAUGUAGCAUAAAAUACACACUCAGGGCUACUCAUAAUUCUGAUCGUGAAGUGCAGCUGAUAUACAGUUCAGUUGUGAAAGAAAAUGCAUAAAAGAGGAACAACUCUCCAAUUACAGAGAAGCUUUCAGAAACCUAAACAUGAAACAUGGAAUAACCACUAGGCUCCCC
rnacentral:lncRNA from 1 species